rnacentral:rRNA from 1 species
AUUGAACGCUGGCGGCAUGCUUUACACAUGCAAGUCGAACGGUAACAGGCCGCAAGGUGCUGACGAGUGGCGAACGGGUGAGUAAUGCAUCGGAACGUGCCCAGUCGUGGGGGAUAACGCAGCGAAAGCUGCGCCAAUACCGCAUACGAUCUAUGGAUGAAAGCAGGGGACAGUAAGGCCUCGCGCCAUUGGAGCGGCCGAUGUCAGAUUAGGUAGUUGGUGGGGUAAAGGCUCACCAAGCCAACGAUCUGUAGCUGGUCUGAGAGGACGCCCAGCCACACUGGGACUGAGACACGGCCCAGACUCCUACGGGAGGCAGCAGUGGGGAAUUUUGGACAAUGGGCGCAAGCCUGAUCCAGCAAUGCCGCGUGCAGGAAGAAGGCCUUCGGGUUGUAAACUGCUUUUGUACGGAACGAAACGGUCCUGGUUAAUACCUGGGGCUAAUGACGGUACCGUAAGAAUAAGCACCGGCUAACUACGUGCCAGCAGCCGCGGUAAAAC